ensembl:ncRNA F22B3.12 ncRNA
AGGAUAUUGUAGACCUUUUCAUAAAGGUGUCACGAUUAGGCAUAAGGUUCUCGCCUGGAUUACGCCUUUCCGGGCGAAAGUCGUUAUUAGGUCGAGGGAAGAGGCGGAUUGGUGGCGCCUCCGUCACGCCUCGACCGGGUAAAACCGCUG